ensembl:lncRNA
GCUUGGGAAGAAAGUGUGAACGUUGAGUCCUGUUUUUCCAAAAGACUCUCCAUCUGCACCCCCACUGGAAGCAGAGUCAUUUUCACGAGCUGCUUGGGAAUUUCCUGUUUAUUUACCCGGGCUUCCAGACAAACCGGGACUCCGGCCCCGCCUCCCCCCACGGCAGUCAACUUGGCACAAGGAGACGUCUGGCCCGGCUGGGGAGCUAAGAGUGACUCACCUCAAACCUUCCCACCCCAGCGGCCCCUGCCCACCGUGGGCUGCAGCAGAUGGAGGCUCCGGGCACCUGGGACCAGAGGGAAACCCCCACAGGACACCUUCCAGCAAGAGAGAGGAGACAACCAGAUCUCAGCCUGUAACAGAGCAGGCCUGUCGCCCCUCUAUUCUCCCUGCAGCAGAAUUGGGGGUGGCUGUGGAGGAAGGACUGUGCCCCCCUUUCAAUGGCUAAGUCAGAGGUCUCUCUUGGUUGAUUUCCAUCUCAAGAGAAGUCCCAAGAUUCAGAGGAUUCAGACAGGAAGAGAGAUGAAUUCUAGGAACGGAGUUUUCAUGAUGGUUUAACUUCAACGCACCCAGAGAAGAACUUUUUAACACAUGGUAUCAAAAAAUCUAACUGAUGUCAUUGAUCAUUUUUAAAUAAAAACUUGUUUUUGAAGUGGAUUGCUUGCUUG